rnacentral:rRNA from 1 species
GACGAACGCUGGCGGCGUGCUUAACACAUGCAAGUCGAACGGAAAGGCCCUGCUUUUGUGGGGUGCUCGAGUGGCGAACGGGUGAGUAACACGUGAGUAACCUGCCCUUGACUUUGGGAUAACUUCAGGAAACUGGGGCUAAUACCGGAUAGGAGCUCCUGCUGCAUGGUGGGGGUUGGAAAGUUUCGGCGGUUGGGGAUGGACUCGCGGCUUAUCAGCUUGUUGGUGGGGUAGUGGCUUACCAAGGCUUUGACGGGUAGCCGGCCUGAGAGGGGGACCGGCCACAUGGGGACUGAGAUACGGCCCAGACUCCUACGGGAGGCAGCAGGGGGGAAUAUUGCACAAUGGGCGGAAGCCUGAUGCAGCAGCGCCGCGUGCGGGAUGACGGCCUUCGGGUUGUGAACCGCUUUCGCCUGUGACGAAGCGUGAGUGACGGUAAUGGGUAAAGAAGCACCGGCUAACUACGUG